GCGCCGGCCGCCGACGCCGCCGCGGGGCUCUCGGCUUACCCGGCCGCAGAGGGCGAGCAGGAGCACGAAGGCGCAGCGGACGGGGCCCAGGCCGGCGGCGGACAUGGUCUCAGCAUGAAGGGACAGACAGAGCCUGACUCCCUGCUAUGAAAAAGAGCUAUACCUGACCAGAAAGUCCAUUUAACUUGAUAUCAGCACGAAGGACAUUUCCUUGGAUUAAUACAAACCCAUCUCAAUGUUUAAUUGACUAAAUCAUUACUCACCUAUCGAUCACCUACUGCAUGUUGGCACUAUGCUCUGGAAAUGUCAAGAUAAUGAGCAUGUCAUCUUUUCC